AAUUUUCCGCAAUGGACGAAAGUCUGACGGAGCGACGCCGUGUGAGUGAUUAAGGUCUUCGGAUCGUAAAACUCUGUUGUUAGGGAAGAACAAGUAUCGACCGAAUAAGUCGGUACCUUGACGGUACCUAACCAGAAAGCCCCGGCUAACUACGUGCCAGUAGCCGCGGUAAUACGUAGGGGGCGAGCGUUGUCCGGAAUUAUUGGGCGUAAAGGGCGCGCAGGCGGUUUUUUAAGUCUGAUGUGAAAUCUCGCAGGUUAACUGCGGGCGGUCAUUGAAAACUGGAAAGAUUGAGUACAGAAGAGGAGAGUGGAAUUCCACGUGUAGCGGUGAAAUGCGUAGAGAUGUAGAGGAACACCAGUGGCGAAGGCGACUCUCUGGUCUGUAACUGACGCUGAGGCGCGAAAGCGUGGGUAGCGAACA
rnacentral:rRNA from 1 species